rnacentral:snRNA from 1 species
AUUGUUUCAAAUAUCUAGUUAUU